GUAUCUUGUAUGUUACACAUAUAUCGUGUGGGUAUUAGAUAUUGAUUCGAUUCAUUUUCGGGUAUUUAUUGAAGUUGUUUUCCCAUGUUUUCCAAAACUGCCAUGUGUUAGUAAAACGUUGAUAUCUCACAAUUGAACGGUCGGAUCGGGCUCAUCUUUGGAUAUAUUGUUCCUAAGAGGAUUUACUAAAAUCUGGUCGGUUGGAUUGUUAUUUGGAGGUUUCUAACUCUAAAACUACCUUUUAAACCGUGGGCUUUAAUUGCAGCCCAAGUAAAGCCCACAGGAGUCUAUAAAUAGACCCCUUAAGUUGCAAACCCUAGCCCCCAUUAAUCUCCAAACCCUAAAAACGAAUUUCUUCACUCAAAGAACUUGAUUUCUUCUUUCUAACAAGUCCGGAUGCGAUUCAUUCCGCUAAGAAUAUGAUUUUACAUCCUACUCGCAAGAUCUACGCGAUUUCUACGUUGUGUUCUUCGUUGGAGGCUUGUGGAUUAAAUUAAAUUCGGUCCAGCCCCUUGAACCUUGGGUUAAUACAUUAUUUAUCUUAUUGUUCAUCAUCCUUAGACACGUCGACUGCUCGUGCUUCGGAGUCGAAACAGGUUUAGUUGCUUGCCAGGUUUUUCACGUGGAUUUGCAAGCAGUUUAUGAUUUGAAAGCUGGUCCACUCCGAUUCUUUUGAUUCCUCGGAGGUUUUUAUGUUAUUUAAACUAGUUUCUGUUUUCAAACUCUUAGACCGCAGUAGAACUAGUUAUUUAUUUCAUUUGAUACUACACUUUGGGAUUGUCGAUAUAUUCGAUUAUUAUAUUUGGCAUGAUUACUCUGGAUUACGAUAUUGUUAUAUAUAAGGCAUGAUGUUGAACAUUUAA